rnacentral:lncRNA from 1 species
AGGUUUAGUUGCUCUCAGGCAUGGAAGAUAAAGGGCACCUACUGAACACUUCCCGUCUGGAGCUACAUGUAGCAUAAAGAGAGAAUGAACCUACAGGAGCUCAUCAUUAAUAUAAGUGUUGUUCCACUUCACAGUUGACCAAGAACUACUGUCACCACUGCCAAUGACAAGUGUGUAACUAAAGGCACACAUGCUCUUAGGAUGGACACCUGUAAGCCAAAGAGAGAACGACUGGCAGGACCAUCAACUACUAUUUAAAUGCUACAGGUCUUGCUGCACGCUGUCUUCAAGUCUGCGUCAGAGUCCCUGGUGUGGAGGGCAUCUUCUCAACCUACUCAUUCCUCUGGGAUUUGAAAACCACAUCUGGAUAAGAUAG